AGCUAAAGCACGGGAAGAAACAGAAAUGCGCCUGCUGGGCAAACGCUUGUUUUUUGUUAAGGGCACUUCUGUAGCGAGUUGAGGGGUGAGAGGAGCUUCUGCACUUUUUAAAUUUCAAAGAAAAGGGUUUUCCUAGGAAAUGUUUCCACCCACCUCUGUCAUGCGCCUUGCAUGCAAGUCACAGAGCACUGCAGAAGCCAGGCCCACGCAGCAGCCUGCAAGGGAUCCCGGGUGUGGUGCCAUCUGGCCCCCUCCCUCUGGUCCUUAAGGCGGGGACCCCACCCACCGAGCUGCUGGCUCCUCGGAGAUUCGGGUGACAAGCUCUGCGGGUGAGAAGAACCAGAACCAACCCCCAACCCAACCUGCUGGGUCUGCUUCCUCGUGAAAGAGGGAGCCACCCGGGAUGGGAAUGGCACACGUGUAGGGCAUUCAGAACAAAGCACAGGAUAAGCGCCAGGUGUGAAAACAGGGAAGCAAACGCCUUCACGGGUGCCCACACCCCUUUCGGCCAGGCCUCUACUUCCCCAUACGGAAAGCUGAUGAUGCCACCCAUCUCCCGGCUCGGCCACUUCCCGGCCCUAGGACACACCUACUGACGUGACACUACAGGCGGGUGCGGGCGAGCCAGCUGCAAAUUUGUUCUGUGGAGGGCUAAAUGUUAGGGUCUGGGCUACAGGCACUCAGCUGUGGCACUGAGAGCAAAUGCAGGCCCCAGGCAACCCCGCAGCAAGUGGGCGUGGCUGUGUGCCAAUAAAACCUUAUUGACAAAAACAGGCAGCAGCGCAGCUCUCCUUGAGUCUCAGCUUGCCCAGCCCUGGCUUGCCUGCUGAGCCGGGGAGCACCGGCUUCGUCCCUUUCCACAGAAACCGCUCCUUUGAUCCUUGAGCCGGGACAGGCCAGCCCCUCCCCUCUGCCCCGGGCGUGGGCUCUCUGAUUAACCACGGUGUGGGCACCCAGAAGGUGCGGCGCGUUCGCAGGGCUUCUUUCUGCAUCCUUCUACCUUCAGGCGAGGCUGGCAGGGUCUGUGACUCAGAGGCCAGCGCCCGAGCUGGGCGCCAGCGCGUGGCCAGCAGAGGGCGCCCGCCGCCCGCCCCAGGCUCCUUUCCCAGAACGCGGCCUCGGCCCCGCCCAGCAGGAUGUGGCUUCGCCCUCCCACCACCCGCUGCCCAGGGGUCCCAGGGAGCGGCCUUUGCUUCCGCACAGGGGAUGUCGUGCAGGUUUCCAGAUUUUACACAUGCGUGCCCCCACCCCUACUUUGUUUCUAUGGCGACGGCGCCCCUUCCUCUGGACUGCCAAGCGUCUCAGGAAGGACCACUCUUACAUAAGGCGGGGAGCAUGCGAAAGACGUUUUUCUAAAAUGGUCAAUAGCUAUUACAUGAAAAGACCAGGCCAGCACCCUCUGCAGGACAGGACCGACUCUGGGAUAAUAGGCCCUGUCUGCAACGUUGGGACAGGUGGGCUUCUGCAACGACACGCACAAGACAGAGGAGACACCGUGCAGCGCCCACACCUGACAGCCUCAAGUCCGUGGGAUGGCUGAAGUGAGGGCAGUAACUGGACGUCCUGUCAUCAGCAGCGCCGAUGUCUCAUUAAGAGCCAUGACUCUCUUCCCUACCCUGCAGACGUGCAGCCAGCCGGAGGACCAAACGUUUCCACAACCGAGCCAGCCUCCCCAGGUGCACAAACGCUGCCCGUCUGUGGCCUCGGAUCCCAGAGAGGAGAGCAACUUGGGCUCGUGUCUGGGUGAGAAAACGAAGCUUCCAGAACAAACGGAAACAGACUCCAUAAGCUACGGGCUGUGAUGUGCGCUAAAGAGUCCACCCUGAGUCUCAGGAAAGGCUCAAGAAGGACGUCUGGAUUCGGAUGAUACUUUCAAACGCUUCGGGUGCUUAAAGAGCACAGCGUAAGGCCUGGAGAGGGAGAGAAGCUCAGUUGUUAUUUCGAAAGGAGAAGCCCUUCAGUUACAGAAGAAAAUGAAGCAUCUGAUGAUGUUUACAGACCUCAUUAGCUACUCUUACCAGGAAGUGAUACAAAUUAGAGAAAGAGAGCAAAGCUUAAAUGACUCACUUGCAGAUUCCUGUGGCUUGGUACCCUUGUUUCCAAACUCCCAUUUGCUGGAACACUGUCUUUAGAUGCAAAACCAUUCUCCUAGGAUUCUGACAUUUUAACACCCACAUAGCAACAAAAAUAAACUUUGAUGUGACAUCAGAAACCUAUGGCUUCUGGACUUAAUAAAGCCACAGACGUUAAUACAACGUUUCCUUUCUCAGUAACAUGUUUCAGAGAAAGUUGUUGACGAUCCGGACGGGCACAGAACUCAACAUUCAAAGCCAACACUGCGACAGUUUUGAAGCUUGUGCCCCUGUGUCUUACUGAUUCACUGUGGCUGUUGAGAAACCUGGAAUCACGUUUGCUCCCUUGCUUUUCUCUCUGAACUGCCCAGCGGUUUCUCACUGGGUGGGGGCUUCUCUGCUCCGUGGGCCACGCGGAGGGCACUUUCACUGUGGUGGGCCACACCUUCAGUUCUGGUGGUUUUUCUGUAGUACUCUUAGCUAGUUUACCCUCCUCUGCUUAAGAGGACAUCUCACCAUGCUGGGCUGGGAUGCAUCAAGUCAGCGGGCGCCAGCACUGGUGUCCAGCGUCCCUGGGCAGGGAGUCCAGGCUGGGGCUGGACAGGAGCGGAAGCUGCCUGAGGCGGGGCAUCGGAGGACGGAGGUCAGGGUGGUCGGAGGGGGUGGCAGGUGGGGGGGUGACGGAACCUGAUUUGUGGGGCCACCUGGGCUUGCGACUAGGUGAAGUGAGGCAGCCUUGUCCCUGAGCCUGAACCUGAGGGAUCAGACACCAGAAAGACAGGUCAGACCUGAGUGACACUGUCACACCUGGACAGUGUCCGCUCGGAACCACUGCUCAGUACGUAAAACACACGGAGGACAAGGCAGAGGAGCGAGAGCAGCAAACUCAUUGUGAAAAAGACAGAAGCUGCGGAACCACACGCAUGCCUCUCAAAGUCCUCAGAGCUUCAGCGACCAGGGCAGCGAGCGGACCGCCCAGCGCGGCUGACCGACUCGUGACGAAGGCCAAAAGCAGCUCCGAAGGAAGGCAGUGUCCUCGGGAAAACGGUGUGGAGACACCUGGACAUCCGAGAGCAAAAGCAAUCAAGGAAGAAGAGCCUUGACCCACACCUCGCUCCGUGUGAGAUGCCGCGUACAUCUAAACACAGCAAAGAACCACAACACUUGGGGGGGAAUCUUUGUGGCCCGGGGUCAGGUGAGCAGCCUCGAUGCUGAUCCCCAAACACAAGCGACUGAAAAUACGGACCCGCUGGACGUCGUCAAGAUUAAAACCACUUGCUCCGUGAAAGGCUCUCUCAGGCGGAUGAAAGAAAAGCCGCAGAUUAGGAGAAAAUGCUCGCAAACCACACACCCAACCAAGGACUUCUGUUGGAAGGGAAACACCACCUUGACAGCAAGGAAACAAACGAUCCAAUAGGAAAAUGGGCGAACCAUCGGGACGCAGGCUCCUAAGCUGGCGAAAGAGAACGUGGGGACACGCGAGGCAGAGCAGCGAGACUCGUGCCAGGCUCUGGGCACUCAGCUCACCUGAAAACCAGCCUCACCCGUGCAGACGCACCAGCCCAGCCCGGGGGCCUCCCAGCGUCGUGCGCCCUGUCCACGAGGUCGCAGCAGCGCCACCGGGGCAGCCCAGGCGGAAACUGUCCGCAAGGAGGGUCCGUGGCUGCGGCCGGCACCGUGCUGACUGGAAGCCCAGGGUGCACGCACGUGGCCGUCUCAAAGGACGACGUUCUAGCACAGGGGACAAAGCAGGGGCUGCCAGGAGGGGGGUCUGGAGGAAGGGCGGCCGAGAGGCAGCUUUUCUGGGGUGCAGUCCCGGACCCUCACUGAGGAGGGGCUGUGCCAACGCCCACACGGGCUGCAAUUCCACAGAACACCCCCUGCCUCCCGAGAGAGGGCGUGCCCCCGGGCAGGGCCCGCCCCCGGGCAUUUUCUGCUCUGAACGUUGUCCCGAGAUGGGUCUGCGGCGCUAUGAUGCGCAGCUGCGUGGAGGGUGCCCAGGAUCUCUCCAUACUGCUUUUGCAACUUUUGUGUGAGUCUGAAUUUAUUUCCACUACAACUUUUCCAUUGCGUAGCCUCUGUAAAAUGACGCUGUGAUCCCGUGGGGGAGCAGCGGUCUGUGCAGGCACCAGGAGCCUGGUCUCCGCAUCAGAGCGGGGAGUGACACCAUUCUCAACCUGGUCCAUGAGAAGUGUUCAGGCACUUGUGACGCAACCACAGACGGUCCUGCUCAGUGAGGGCAGAAAGAGAAAGACAGCAGAUGGCAUCAGUUACACGUGGAACCUAAAAUACGGCACAAACGGACCCACCUACGGCGCAGAGACAGACUCCCAGACGUGGAGAGCAGACCUCCGCGGCUGCAAAGGGGUCAGAGGUGAGAAGGACUGGGAGUCUGGGAUUAGCAGACGCAAACUAGUGCACGCGGGACAGACAGGCAGAAAGUCUGUGCUGUUUAACUCGGGACUAUAUUCCAGUGUCUGUGAUAAACCGUAACGGAAGAAAACAGUCUAAAAAGAUGUAUGUAGGAGCUCCCAUCCUGGCUCAGUGGGUAACAAACCAGACGUGCAUCCAUGAGGACACGGGUUUGAUCCCCGGCCCUGCUCAGUGGGUCAAGGAUCCGGCGUUGCCA